rnacentral:misc_RNA from 1 species
AAGUCGUAACAAGGUUACCUUCUGCAGCUAAGCACGGAGACCUUGCACAGGACUAUAAACAGUGCAAGUUGGUCUUCGGACCAGCAACACAAUCGAAUUGCGGGGACGUCUUAAAGCCUGUUGCACCUCCCGUCAGCGAAAGCUGGUGGCACGGUAAGAGCCUACAGGAUAUACAAUAGACCAUCCGCAGCGAAGACCCUAAAGCCUCUCCGGCCACGGGUAUCGUUCACAGACUAGGUGAUUGUGGGAGGGUUACCCUUCUAAGAUAUAGUCGGUUACAGUGGGAAACUUCUGUAUUUAUAGCGUCCGUAGGUGAACCUGCGGAAGGAUCAUUAAAAAUGAAGCCGGGAAACCGGUCCUUCUAACCCUUGAUUAUCUUAAUUUGUUGCUUUGGUGGGCCGCGCAAGCACCGGCUUCGGCUGGCUCGUGCCCGCCAGAGGACCACAACUCUGUAUCAAAUGUCGUCUGAGUACUAUAUAAUAGUUAAAACUUUCAACAACGGAUCUCUUGGUUCUG